rnacentral:rRNA from 1 species
CACGUAGGGCGCAAGCGUUGUCCGGAAUUAUUGGGCGUAAAGAGCUCGUAGGCGGUCUGUUGCGUCCGCUGUGAAAUCUCGGGGCUUAACCCCGAGCCUGCAGUGGAUACGGGCAGACUAGAGGUAGGUAGGGGAGAAUGGAAUUCCCGGUGUAGCGGUGAAAUGCGCAGAUAUCAGGAAGAACACCUAUGGCGAAGGCAGCUCUCUGGGACGGUACUGACGCUGAGACGCGAAAGCGUGGGGAGCGAACAGG